UAAAUGUUAAGUCCCACAUUGAAAGUGGGAUACAAGUAUAAGGAUGAUAUCCUUAUAGAAUGACUUGCUAGUAUGACCCAACUAAAGAUCUUAUGCUGGAUAGGUCGCAGGCCUUUUUAAGUUGCAGACUAGUCCCAGGCUUCAAUCAAGGCCGGUCCAGGCUAUAACUCGGGCCGCAGGCCAGGCCGGGCCAGGCUUUUUGGAAGGCUAGGCCGGGCUCGGAUAUGAGCCAUUAAUUCAUGGUCUGUUCUAGGUCUAGCAGGCCGGGCCUGACCGGUCCAGACUUUGACUUGGCCGAGCUUUGACAAGGUCGGGCUUAGGCCGGAUCAAGGCCAGGCUACAUGUCGUAGGCCAUUUGUGCACCACUAGACCACUCUUACCCCCUUAUAAAUUUGUCCCAAUCAAUAUAAUCUUGUUUUCUUUAUGCAUUGUAAUCUCGAUUUUUUUUGGAGGGGCUUGAUAAUCCUCGUAAUUCAACGAGUGAUGAAAUUAAAUAAAUAAAUAAUUGAAGUAAAAUAUUCUCACUC
rnacentral:lncRNA from 1 species